rnacentral:rRNA from 1 species
UACAGAGGUCCCGAGCGUUGUUCGGAUUCAUUGGGCGUAAAGGGUGCGUAGGCGGCGGGGCAAGUCUGAUGUGAAAUCCCGGGGCUCAACCCCGGAACUGCAUUGGAUACUGCCUUGCUUGAGUACUGGAGAGGAGACUGGAAUUUACGGUGUAGCAGUGAAAUGCGUAGAUAUCGUAAGGAAGGCCAGUGGCGAAGGCGAGUCUCUGGACAGUUACUGACACUGAGGCACGAAGGCCAGGGGAGCAAACGGG